AUGAGAGGUGGUGAAAAUUUUUGAUGAGAGAGAGGUUUAAAUUUUGAUAAAAAAAAGAGUUUAUUUUGUUCCAAUUGAGUGAAAAUAGUUUUAGAAAGAGAUCUAAACUUGGAUAAAAAAAAAAGAGUUUAUUUUGUUACCACCCAAAACUUCACCAAAGCUAAAACUUGAACUUUCUUGCUGAGAUUUCAACAACAUACUCCACAACUUGAGGGUAAUCAAGAGGAAGUUUGGAAAUCAAGAAGUUCAAUAUUUCUUUGGAAGAUCAAAGAGAUUGAGGGUCUGAACUGUUGAACGCGUGCGGGUACCCCCCAGGCAUGUUACACUAUGCCAAUAAAAAGAUGUUGUCCUCCUAUUCUAUGGAGGACAAUGGAGAACAACUAUUCAUGGGCAACUCCUCGACAUCUAAAGUCGAAGGACAAGGAAAGGUUAUUUUGAAGAUCACACCUGGAAAGGAAUUCACCCUCAACAAUGCGUUGCAUAUGCCGGACAUUUGCAAGAAUCUUGUUUCCGGAUCUUUGUUGAACAAGAAUGGGUUUAGGCUAGUUUUUUAGAGUGACAAAUUUGUAAUUACCAAAAACGGGAUGUAUGUAAGAAAAUGUUACAUGAAUGAUGGUCUUUUCAAAAUGAAUAUUGUAUAAAAAAUGAUUAAUAAAAAUACAUCUUCUUC